UACGUAGGGCGCAAGCGUUGUCCGGAAUUAUUGGGCGUAAAGAGCUCGUAGGCGGUCUGUCGCGUCGGCUGUGAAAACCCGGGGCUCAACCCCGGGCCUGCAGUCGAUACGGGCAGACUAGAGUGUGGUAGGGGAGACUGGAAUUCCUGGUGUAGCGGUGAAAUGCGCAGAUAUCAGGAGGAACACCGGUGGCGAAGGCGGGUCUCUGGGCAGUAACUGACGCUGAGGAGCGAAAGCGUGGGGAGCGAACAGG
rnacentral:rRNA from 1 species